GACUCUCUCUUGUUUGUGGAUCCUGUUCCCAGUUAACUCUUCGGAUGUGGAGUCCACAUCGUUUACCUUGAAAAAAUUAGAGUGUUCAAAGCAGGCGUUUGCUUGAAUAUAUUAGCAUGGAAUAAUGGAAUAGGACGCUGGUUCUAUUUUGUUGGUUUUGAGAACCAGAGUAAUGAUUAAUAGGGACAGUUGGGGGCAUUCAUAUUUCAUUGUCAGAGGUGAAAUUCUUGGAUUUAUGAAAGAUGAACUUCUGCGAAAGCAUUUGCCAAGGAUGUUUUCAUUAAUCAAGAACGAAAGUUAGGGGAUCGAAGACGAUCACAUACCGUCGUAUUCUUAACCAUAAACUAUGCCCACUAUGGAUUGGGCGUGGUUUGCUCAUUGACCCGCUC
rnacentral:rRNA from 1 species